UUUGCUGUAUUUUAGCAUGUUUUCUAUUUUCAGUGUGUGUAGAAAACUACCUCAUCUAUGGGAAGGGGAAGAUGAAGUUUCCCUUAAUACACCAAAACAGCUAAUUCCCAAGUAUUUGGAUUUCCAUUAAAGGCUAUGAAUAGAUUGCUUCCUGGAAGGAAACUAGUUCUGUCCUUAGUCAUGGGCUUGUCUAAACAGUUAGCCCCAUCAAAUUCCUUCAAUACAUGAGCAAGUUGCUGUGGUUUAUUCUUUCAGGAUAAGACUUCGUGGAGUUCCUUAUCUCCCGAAUUUGUGCCCUAGGGGGUUAACUGGGGAGAAUUCUGUGGAUGAGUCUGUGAUCAGAUGGCCUGGGUUGCUCUGUUCUUAGGCCAGUGAUGACUUUUGGCAGUGCCAUCAGUGCCAUCAGAUAACCUGACCACUAUACCAUGUCCACUGCUGGACUCUGAAUAACACAGGAUGUCCUGUGAGUCUGUCAGCAGGUGCUGUGUAGACUGCUCAUGUACCUGUCUUUCAGAAAUGUGAAGAACCUAACUGAAUUAAUGGCCCUGUGUUGGGGAGCCUGGAAGCUCUUCUCCUUUCCCUGUUGCUUCUGGCAGGUAUCUUGUGCAGAAUCUGCAGGUUUCUUGAACCCCUUAGGUGGGCUCAGCUGGCCUCUGAAAAAGGAAAAGAAGGAAAAGCUGAGGUGCUAACCAGGGUAGAGUGAGUGUUUGAGGAUCAGAACAGAAACAUAAAACCUAAUAUUAUGCAAA